rnacentral:rRNA from 1 species
UACAGAGGGGGCAAGCGUUGUUCGGAAUUACUGGGCGUAAAGGGCGCGUAGGCGGCCUUCUAAGUCGAACGUGAAAUCCCUGGGCUCAACCCAGGAACUGCGUCCGAUACUGGAAGGCUUGAAUCCGGGAGAGGGAUGCGGAAUUCCAGGUGUAGCGGUGAAAUGCGCAGAUAUCAGGAGGAACACCGGUGGCGAAGGCGGAUCUCUGGGCCUUACCUGACGCUGAGGCGCGAAAGCUAGGGGAGCGAACAGG